rnacentral:rRNA from 1 species
GACGAACCGUGCGAACGUUAUUCGGAAUCACUGGGCUUAAAGAGCUCGUAGGCGGUGUGUCGCGUCGGCCGUGAAAACCUGCAGCUUAACUGUGGGCUUGCGGUCGAUACGGGCAUCACUGGAGUUCGGCAGGGGAGACUGGAAUUCCUGGUGUAGCGGUGAAAUGCGCAGAUAUCAGGAGGAACACCGGUGGCGAAGGCGGGUCUCUGGGCCGAUACUGACGCUGAGGAGCGAAAGCGUGGGGAGCGAACAGG